UUUCAGGCCAAAAUUCUAUUUCACCAAUUUCGGACCUCUUUUCCCAAUUUUCUCUAUAUCUUUCUCUCACUCUCGAUAUUUUUUUUCUUGUUCCAUUUCUCUUCCAUUUCAAGUGUGAGGCUGAUUGUUCUUGGAUCUCUCUUCCAAUACACCUGUGCGACUGACGGCUCUCUCUCUGACUGGCGAAUCAAGAAGAGGUAUAAGCAUUACGAAAAGAAGUUGAUGAGUUGAAGGAGGAACGGAAAGAAGAUCGUAUAAAUUUUAAUAAAUUGCAGAAUCUAGUGGAGAAACUUAUGAGCACACGUCAAUUUGAUCCUUUGAAUGGCGAGGAUGACAGGGAUCGUGAGUUUUAGUUUGUUGUGAUUGUGAUGUUUGAGAUAUUAUAUGUUGGGGUUGGAUGUUUAAACUUAGUAAUAUUUGCACUUGACUAUGAUUGUAAUGUUCUAGACUAGAGUGAAUGGUGCAUGAAUGUUUAACUUGUGUUUGGAUGUUUUAGUUACAAAAUGUUUAUGUUUUUUAUAAUUGUUUGCAUUUUAUGAGUUUGAUUAGUUGAAAUGGUGGAUUGAUUGGUUGGAA